GACAGAGGCCUCAAGCGUUAGGCGGAAUCACUGGGCUUAAAGCGCGUGUAGGCGGCCCGGUAAGUCCGCUGUGAAAGUCGGGGGCUCAACCCUCGAAUGCCGGUGGAUACUGUCGGGCUAGAGUGCAGAAGGGGCAACUGGAAUUCUCGGUGUAGCGGUGAAAUGCGUAGAUAUCGAGAGGAACACCUGCGGCGAAGGCGGGUUGCUGGGCUGACACUGACGCUGAUGUGUCGAAAGCUAGGGGAGCGAACGG
rnacentral:rRNA from 1 species